GCUUGUCUCAAAGAUUAAGCCAUGCAUGUCUAAGUAUGAACAACUUUAUACUGUGAAACUGCGAAUGGCUCAUUAAAUCAGCUAUUGUUUAUUUGAUAGUACCUCACUACUUGGAUAACCGUAGUAAUUCUAGAGCUAAUACAUGCGAAAAGACGCGACUCACGAAGCGUUGUAUUUAUUAGAUAAAAAACCAAUGCGGGUUCUGCCCGGUUUUGUGUUGAAUCAUAGUAACUUUUCGAAUCGCAUGGCUUCACGCCGGCGAUAGUUCAUUCAAAUUUCUGCCCUAUCAGCUUUCGACGGUAGUGUAGUGGACUACCGUGGCGUUAACGGGUAACGGAGAAUUAGGGUUCGAUUCCGGAGAGGGAGCCUGAGAAACGGCUACCACAUCUAAGGAAGGCAGCAGG
rnacentral:rRNA from 1 species